GAUGAACGCUGGCGGCGUGCCUAAUACAUGCAAGUCGAGCGAAGAGGGGGCGGGUGAGUAACACGUAGAUAACCUCCUCUAAGAAUGGGAUAACUUCGGGGAAACGUCGCUAAAACGGAUACUUAUAGAUGACUCGGCGCUGCAUUAGCUAGUUGGUAAGGUAACGGAUUACCAAGGCAACGAUGUAUAGCCGACCUGAGAGGGUGAUCAGCCACACUGUGACUGAGACACGGUCCAUACUCCUACGGGAGGCAGCAGUAGGGAAUCUUCCGCAAUGGGCGAAAGCCUGACUGAGCAACGCCGCGUGAGUGAUGAAGGUCGUCGGAUCGUAAAACUCUGUUAUGAGGGAAGCGGUACCCAAUCAGAAAGCCACGGCUAACUCCGUGCCAGCAGCCGCGGUAAUUC
rnacentral:rRNA from 1 species